UACGUAGGCAGCGAGCGUUGUUCGGAGUUACUGGGCGUAAAGGGUGUGUAGGCGGUUGUUUAAGUUUGGGGUGAAAUCUCCCGGCUCAACUGGGAGGGUGCGCCGAAUACUGAAUGACUUGGAGUGCGGGAGAGGAGAGUGGAAUUCCUGGUGUAGCGGUGAAAUGCGUAGAUAUCAGGAGGAACACCUGUGGUGUAGACAGCUUACUGGACCAUUUCUGACGCUGAGACACGAAAGCGUGGGUAGCAAACAGG
rnacentral:rRNA from 1 species